AUCACUUACUUAAAAUUCAAAUACUGGUCUAAAGUUUAAGGUGAUUUGGAUUGCAUUUGUUCCCUGAUAGAUCAGAAAUAAUUUAUCUGUUUUCUUUUCUCCAAGACAGCAAAGAAAUAUAUAAAGGUUUCACAUUAGUCAAUAAAUAUUGGCUGCUGAGGUAUUUCAUAUUCUCAUUUCAAAUAAGAUUAACUUAAUAAUUUAUAAUUGACUGAGGGCGAAUUAAGGAGCUUCACCUAAGCAGAUGUUUUCAUGUAAAGGGAAAUCAAUCCACGUCUCAGGUUACACACGAGCCCACCACUAAUGUGCCAUAAAAAUAAAACCUAGAGGGGGCUUAAGAGUGUGACUGCCAAUAUUUCCAGAGAGAAAGACAUACUAAACACAGUGAUAAAUUAUUGCAGUCUUAUGUAACAGAAUUGUGCCAAUUUCUAAUCAAUUACAGAUAACUUAUUUUUCAUCAACUAAAUGUAACUUUAGAAGUUUAAGCUUUUUUAUUGUUUCAUUGUUGAGAUUCUAUUCUUGGUUGUACUUCCUGCCACUGAGAGUUGGUAAUAGUCAGUUGUAUACUUUAUAUUUUUAUCUGGUCUAAAUCAUUGUGCUAGUCUAGAUAGCUUUCCUCUAAAAUAUGUGGAAAUUUCUAGAAUACUGACUAUGUUAAAAAAUAAAAUAAAGUUGUCUAUUUGAUCACUUUAAAGAGGUAGAGGAAGAAGGGUCAUUGUAAGCUUAAAGCCAGCCAGAUCUACAUAGAAAGUUCUAAGCCAGACAUGGCUAGAUUGCAAGACUCUCAAAACACAAACAAACAAACAAACAGAUUUAAAAUGUAUAAAUCUGAUACUUGUUCCAUGGCAGCCAUGAUGCUGUUUUUGAUCUCAAUAAGACUCUGUAAGACAGCAAAAUAAUUUCCUAGAGACCUAUUACUUUCACAUUGGAUAAAAUAUACUUAAUAUCCUUUCAUUUUCAUGUUUCAAAGGAAGAGUCAAAGAUGAUUAAAGGGCUCUUUGAAGCGGUCAGGGCUUGGUCACUUCACAUUCUGUAGUCAGGGACUGAACCAUAGUUACUUUUAUAAAUGUAUUAGGAUGUGAAGAACUGACUAUUAAGUCUAAAGUAGCUGUAUUAUCAAUAAAGCAAUACACUGAGUUGGGGUAUUGUUUUUUAAAUAUGUAAUUAUAUUUCUUUUCAUGAAAAAUCAUACAUAAAUUGUUACGUUUAUUUAAGAUGAAAUUGUACAGCCGAUAAGAGAAGAGAGAAUCCACAUUGUAGAUUCCUUUUGUGAGGGCAUGAAGAAGUCUGUACACAAUUGAGCAUAUUCCAUGUUUAAAGGAAGAAAGUAAAUAAAUGCAAACAACUCC
rnacentral:lncRNA from 1 species